GAUGAACGCUGGCGGCGUGCCUAAUACAUGCCAGUCGAGCGAACGGACGAGAAGCUUGCUUCUCUGAUGUUAGCGGCGGACGGGUGAGUAACACGUGGAUAACCUACCUAUAAGACUGGGAUAACUUCGGGAAACCGUAGCUAAUACCGGAUAAUAUUUUGAACCGCAUGGUUCAAAAGUGAAAGACGGUCUUGCUGUCACUUAUAGAUGGAUCCGCGCUGCAUUAGCUAGUUGGUAAGGUAACGGCUUACCAAGGCAACGAUGCAUAGCCGACCUGAGAGGGUGAUCGGCCACACUGGAACUGAGACACGGUCCAGACUCCUACGGGAGGCAGCGGUAGGGAAUCUUCCGCAAUGGGCGAAAGCCUGACGGAGCAACGCCGCGUGAGUGAUGAAGGUCUUCGGAUCGUAAAACUCUGUUAUUAGGGAAGAACAUAUGUGUAAGUAACUGUGCACAUCUUGACGGUACCUAAUCAGAAAGCCACGGCUAACUACGUG
rnacentral:rRNA from 1 species